rnacentral:rRNA from 1 species
UACGUAGGGUGCGAGCGUUAAUCGGAAUUACUGGGCGUAAAGUGUGCGCAGGCGGCAGAGCAAGUCGAGUGUGAAAGCCCCGGGCUUAACUUGGGAAUUGCGCUCGAAACUACUUUGCUGGAGUGUGGCAGAGGAAGGUGGAAUUCCACGUGUAGCGGUGAAAUGCGUAGAUAUCGGGAGGAACACCAAUUGCGAAGGCAGCUCGCUGGGACGUUACUGACGCUGAGACGCGAAAGCGUGGGAGCAAACAGG